UUUUCUUGUUGGUCUGAUGCCAGUUCGGUUCGCCUGCCUGCGUCCGCUUACUUACUUCCAGGAUAAAGAAGAAGGCACGGAACCGGGGACGCUAAAGGGAAUUGGACGGUUUACCAUACAAUAAUCGGUGUUGGUGAGGGUUGGGGUGGGAGAAGCCUGUGUUUAGUUUGGGAGUACGUUCCAAGGCCAGACUAGCCAAUGGAGGGUAUCGCCAAUGGGACGAACCCGCCAUAUUCUGCGGGGGACUGUAGGAUCUUGGCAAUGAUGAAGUUGACGACAACGCGGGGAAGAAGAGGUUUUGGAUAUAAAUUUUGUGUAGAGAGACAAGGAGAGAGUACUGUCAUCCUUGAUGUAUUAACAGAAAGCCAGGUUAAUACGGCCAGCAGCGGUGUAUAAGUAGGUGCCAGCGUGUCCGGAUUUAUGGGAGUAAAGCGAGCGCAGGCGUUUCUUAAGUCUGAUGGAAAGCCCCCGGCUCAACCGGGGAGGGUCAUAGAAACUGGGAGACUUGAGUGCAGAAGAGGAGAGUGGAAUUCCAUGUGUAGCGGUGAAAUGCGUAGAUAUAUGGAGGAACACCAGUGGCGAAGGCGGCUUUUUGGUCUGUAACUGACGCUGAGGCUCGAAAGCGUGGGGAGCAAACAGGAUUAGAUACCCUGGUAGUCCACGCCGUAAACGAUGAGUGCUAAGUGUUGGAGGGUUUCCGCCCUUCAGUGCUGCAGCUAACGCAUUAAGCACUCCGCCUGGGGAGUACGACCGCAAGGUUGAAACUCAAAGGAAUUGACGGGGGCCCGCACAAGCGGUGGAGCAUGUGGUUUAAUUCGAAGCAACGCGAAGAACCUUACCAGGUCUUGACAUCCUUUGACCACUCUAGAGAUAGAGCUUCCCCUUCGGGGGCAAAGUGACAGGUGGUGCAUGGUUGUCGUCAGCUCGUGUCGUGAGAUGUUGGGUUAAGUCCCGCAACGAGCGCAACCCUUAUUGUUAGUUGCCAUCAUUCAGUUGGGCACUCUAGCAAGACUGCCGGUGACAAACCGGAGGAAGGUGGGGAUGACGUCAAAUCAUCAUGCCCCUUAUGACCUGGGCUACACACGUGCUACAAUGGGAAGUACAACGAGUUGCGAAGUCGCGAGGCUAAGCUAAUCUCUUAAAGCUUCUCUCAGUUCGGAUUGCAGUGCUGCAACUCGUCCUGCAUGAAGCCGGAAUCGCUAGUAAUCGCGGAUCAGCACGCCGCGGUGAAUACGUUCCCGGGCCUUGUACACACCGCCCGUCACACCACGAGAGUUUGUAACACCCGACGUCGGCGAGGUAACCUUUUUGGAGCCAGCCGCAAUAAGGUGGGCAUCAGAAGGAGGCGGC
rnacentral:rRNA from 1 species